CGGGAACCGUGAGACAGGUGCUGCAUGGCUGUCGUCAGCUCGUGUGUGAAAUGUGGGUUAAGUCCCGCAACGAGCGCAACCUUAUCCCUUUGUUGCCAGCGAUUCGUCGGAAAACUCAAAGGAGACUGCCGGUGAUAAACCGGAGGAAGGUGGGGAUGACGUCAAGUCAUCAUGGCCCUUACGGCCAGGGCUACACACGUGCUACAAUGGCGCAUACAAAGAGAAGCGACCUCGCGAGAGCAAGCGGACCUCAUAAAGUGCGUCGUAGUCCGGAUCGGAGUCUGCAACUCGACUCCGUGAAGUCGGAAUCGCUAGUAAUCGUGGAUCAGAAUGCCACGGUGAAUACGUUCCCGGGCCUUGUACACACCGCCCGUCACACCAUGGGAGUGGGUUGCAAAAGAAGUAGGUAGCUUAACCUUCGGGAGGGCGCUUACCACUUUGUGAUUCAUGACUGGGGUGAAGUCGUAACAAGGUAACCGUAGGGGAACCUGCGGCUGGAACACCUCCUUGGCUGGAACACCUCCUUGGUUGGAACACCUCCUU
rnacentral:rRNA from 1 species